GACGAACGCUGGCGGCGCGCCUAAAACAUGCAAGUCGAACGAGAAGCCCGGGCUUGCCCGGGUGGACAGUGGCGAACGGGUGAGUAACACGUGAGGAACCUGCCCCGAAGACCGGGACAACACCGGGAAACCGGUGCUAAUACCGGAUGCCUUCACCGGAUCGCAUGGUCUGGUGAAGAAAUGGAUUCCGCUUCGGGAUGGCCUGGCGGCCUAUCAGCUUGUGGGUGAGGAAAUGGCUCACCAAGGCGGCGACGGGUAGCUGGUCUGAGAGGAUGUCCAGCCACACUGGGACUGAGACACGGCCCAGACUGCUACGGGAGGCAGCAGUUAGGAAUCUUGCGCAAUGGGCGAAAGCCUGACGCAGCGACGCCGCGUGCGGGAUGAAGGCCUUCGGGUUGUAAACCGCUUUCAGCAGGGACGAAAUUGACGGUACCUGCAGAAGAAGCCCCGGCCAACUACGUGCCAGCAGCCGCUGUAAAAC
rnacentral:rRNA from 1 species